rnacentral:rRNA from 1 species
UUAAAUUGAAGAGUUUGAUCAUGGCUCAGAUUGAACGCUGGCGGCAGGCCUAACACAUGCAAGUCGAACGGUAACAGGAAGAAGCUUGCUGCUUCGCUGACGAGUGGCGGACGGGUGAGUAAUGUCUGGGAAACUGCCUGAUGGAGGGGG